rnacentral:lncRNA from 1 species
UGGAAAACAAAAAUUAGAUUCCCCUUAUGAGAAGGGAGAGGAACUGCUAACAUCCUUAUUUCCUCCUCAUAUAUACUUUGCAUCUCAUCCAUCUGUUCUUUGUUCAAUGUACUUUGUUCUCACUCACACACUUUCUGUCCCCACACAUCAACACGAGGCUUUUCAAUGUACUUUGUCCUCACUCACACACUUUUUGGGAAAACUUCCCAGAAGGUCACCCAUCCCUAAAUUACUCCAGGC